rnacentral:rRNA from 1 species
GAGCCUGAGAAACGGCUACCACAUCCAAGGAAGGCAGCAGGCGCGCAAAUUACCCAAUCCGAACUCCGGGAGGUAGUGACAAGAAAUAGCAAUAGAGGGCCCGAUGGGUUUUCUAAUUGGAAUGAGAACAAGGUAAACAGCUUAUCGAGGAGCCAGCAGAGGGCAAGUCUGGUGCCAGCAGCCGCGGUAAUUCCAGCUCUGUAAGCGUAUACCAAAGUUGUUGCAGUUAAAACGCUCGUAGUCGGAGGUUGGCGGGCGAUUUGGGUCGUCUUCACAGAUGCUCUCAGAUCGGCCGCCUUUGUGGAGGGGGGCCUAGUGGUGCUUUACUGCCUCGCUAGGUCGCUGCCACCGUUUACUGUGAAAAAAUUAGAGUGUUCAAAGCAGGCGUUUGCCAUGAAUACAUUAGCAUGGAAUAAUAGAAUAGGACCUGUUUUCUAUUUUGUUGGUUUGUUAGGAUCGGGUAAUGAUUAAGAGGGAUGGUUGGGGGCAUUUGUAUUCCAGCGUCAGAGGUGAAAUUCUUGGAUUGUUGGAAGACAAACAGCUGCGAAAGCGUCUGCCAAGGACAUUUUCAUUGAUCAAGAACGAAAGUAAGGGGAUCGAAGACGAUCAGAUACCGUCGUAGUCUUUACUAUAAACGAUGAGGACUGGAGAUCGGG